rnacentral:tRNA from 1 species
GGAGGUAACAGCUCAGUGGUACAGUGGAGUGCUUAGCAUGCACAAGGUCCUGGGUUCAUUCCCCAGUACCGCCA